AGUAAAAGUCCCACAUACAGGACAAUUGGCAUAGGAGUUCAGAGGAGGACAAGCUGGUAUUUUGCAGAGCUAAAAUAACGAGAUUUGUGCCUGAAGAUGCAUGGUUCUAUGCAGCCGUCCUUCAAAGCAAAUGAAGAAAAAGCCAGAGUCAACUACUAAUCUGCCCAGAUCAUGAAAUGCAGUAGCCACUUUACAUGUAAAACGCAAUCCAAAAUUUAGAUUAGUGUCUUCAAUUUUAAAACUAUCAUGAAAGAUGGAAUAUGAUAGCCUAAGCAAACUGUGUAACAUUGUUCCUUUACAGUUUGUUUCAACAUCUAUAUCAAUAAAUAAGCAAAACUGUAUUUCCAGUC